AACGUAGGACGCAAGCGUUAUCCGGAAUUACUGGGCGUAAAGCGUGCGCAGGCAGUGAUGUAAGACCGAUGUGAAAUCCCCGGGCUUAACCUGGGAACUGCAUUGGUGACUGCAUUGCUGGAGUAUGGCAGAGGGGGGUGGAAUUCCACGUGUAGCAGUGAAAUGCGUAGAGAUGUGGAGGAACACCGAUGGCGAAGGCAGCCCCCUGGGCCAAUACUGACGCUCAUGCACGAAAGCGUGGGGAGCAAACAGG
rnacentral:rRNA from 1 species